rnacentral:rRNA from 1 species
AUUGAACGCUGGCGGAAUGCUUUACACAUGCAAGUCGAACGGCAGCACGGGGCAACCUGGUGGCGAGUGGCGAACGGGUGAGUAAUACAUCGGAACGUGCCCAAUCGUGGGGGAUAACGUAGCGAAAGUUACGCUAAUACCGCAUACGAUCUACGGAUGAAAGCGGGGGAUCGCAAGACCUCGCGCGAGUGGAGCGGCCGAUGUCAGAUUAGGUAGUUGGUGGGGUAAAGGCUCACCAAGCCAACGAUCUGUAGCUGGUCUGAGAGGACGACCAGCCACACUGGAACUGAGACACGGUCCAGACUCCUACGGGAGGCAGCAGUGGGGAAUUUUGGACAAUGGGCGCAAGCCUGAUCCAGCCAUUCCGCGUGCAGGAUGAAGGCCUUCGGUUGUAACUGCUUUGUACGGAACGAAACGGACGAGCUCUAAUACAGUUUGCUAAUGACGGUACCGUAAGAAUAAGACACCGGCUAACUACGUGCCAGCAGCCGCGGUAAU